UUCCCUGUAGCUCCGUUGGUAGAGCAUGGUGUUUGCAACGCCAGGGUUGUGGGUUCAUUUCCCACGGGGGGCA
rnacentral:tRNA from 1 species